rnacentral:rRNA from 1 species
AGUGAACGCUGGCGGUAGGCCUAACACAUGCAAGUCGAACGGCAGCGCAGUAAGAGCUUGCUCUUACGGGUGGCGAGUGGCGGACGGGUGAGGAAUACAUCGGAAUCUACUUUUUCGUGGGGGAUAACGUAGGGAAACUUACGCUAAUACCGCAUACGACCUACGGGUGAAAGCAGGGGAUCUUCGGACCUUGCGCGAUUGAAUGAGCCGAUGUCGGAUUAGCUAGUUGGCGGGGUAAAGGCCCACCAAGGCGACGAUCCGUAGCUGGUCUGAGAGGAUGAUCAGCCACACUGGAACUGAGACACGGUCCAGACUCCUACGGGAGGCAGCAGUGAGGAAUAUUGGACAAUGGGCGCAAGCCUGAUCCAGCCAUACCGCGUGGGUGAGGAAGGCCUUCGGGUUGUAAAGCCCUUUUGUUGGGAAAGAAAAGCAGCAGGUUAAUACCCCGCUGUUCUGACGGUACCCAAAGAAUAAGCACCGGCUAACUUCGUG